rfam:Schistosoma rodhaini strain Burundi genome assembly, scaffold: SROB_scaffold0000512
AUCCAGCUGACGAGUCCUAAAGUAGGACGAAGCGCGCUUCCUAUAU